rnacentral:lncRNA from 1 species
ACAGAUGACUCCGCAACCAGUAAACUCUGUAAGUACUGUCGAAAACGGAGCUUGGUGAAGAUAUUUAGAACAUGCUGAACUGCGUUUUCUCUACAUGUGCUUUUAUCGGUUUGCAUGCUGCAUGUUUGAUGUUUUGCCUGAGCUGGGGAUGAAAUGGUACCGAAUGCCUGAAACUAACAUUAACGGUGUUCAGUUUAAGUGUACAUUUUGAGAUCAGUGCUAGUGUUUAUAAACGCUCAAAAUGUGUACAGUAUUUCUUAGAUUAACGUGUGCUUACUGUAUAAUUUAGGAAAGUUUUAAUAAUACUACAACAGAUGCUAAUUAAAUCAGGAAGUGAAGCACGACCAAACGUACCAUAUACAAUGUUCAGUUCAAGUUUAAUUUUCAGUUUAGUGCCAGAGUUUAUCAUCAAUCCAAAAAAUAUAUAUCUGAUUUUCACAUUGAUGAGUACUACUACUUACUUCUCCCAUUCCUUGGCUGAAGACUAUGUUUUGAACCGAGCCUUGCAGCAAGGAGGGAAUGGUUGCGUCUGUUUUGUGCUUGGAUGCUGUGACGCCCUCGAUUCAAUCGUACACUAAUCAUGCACGCAAAUGUGUACGACCAAGAUCAAGGACUCACGGGAAGAUAUCACAACACAACUCUAGACACAAAUUAAAAUAAUACAAGCUUUAUAUUACAAGCCAUGGGCCUCGAGGGCUCGAAUACAUAAACUCGAAUACAUAAGAGUCAGCGGAAGCAACAAUAUUUGAGUACAGACAUAAGUUAGACAAGUUUGCCUUAAGAAGGCUAGCACAAAAGCAUCUACGAUCGAAAAGGCAAGGCCUCCUGCCUGGGAGCCUCCUAACUACUCCUGGUCGUUGGCGUCCUCCACGUAGUAGUAGGCACCCUCGGGGUUGUGGUAGUCGUCGUCAAAGGUGGCGUCUGGAUCCUGGGCUCCGACAUCUCUGGUUGCAUCAACCGGAAAGAAGAAGAAAGGGGGAAAAGGGGGAGCAAAGAAAACGCGAGUACUCAUCCAAAGUACUCGCAAGCAAGGAUCUACACUACAUAUGCAACAUUAUCAAAGAGGGGUUGUAUAUGUGGACUGGGCUGCAGAAAUGCCAGAAUAGAGAGAAGGCCUAGUCCUAUCGAAGACUAGCAUCUUCUGGAAACCACCAUCUUGCAGCAAACAAGAGGGAGUAGAGUAGCAUAAAGUAAAGUGGUAGUAGUGUUAUCAACCUCGGCCAGAGAUCCUUUCUCAACUCCCUGCAAGAAAGCAAUCCCAGAGCCAUACUAUCCAGUUAUCAUCACAAUCAAAUCCUCAUCACCAUCCAGUUCUCAUCACAAGUAUCCAGUUCUAGUUGUAUCGAUCGGGAUACAACUCCAAGUGUCCUUUACCGUAGGACAGGCUAUCGAUAGAUGUUUUCUUCCCUGCAGGCGUGCACCAACUUACCCACCACGCUCGCUUAACUCCGGCCGGACACACUUUCCUGGGUCAUGCCCGGCCUCGGCCAAACAAUACGCCGCAACCCGACCUAGGCUUAAUAGAGAGGCCAGCACGCCGGACUAAACCUAUGCCCCCAGGGGUCAUGGGCCAUCUCCCCGGGAACUCCUGCACGUUGCGAACGCGGCCGGUGAGCAGACCUAGCUACCUCCUUAAAAAGGUAGGUGCUUACUAGUCCAACCCGGCGCGCGCCACUCAGUCGCUGACGUCUAUUAAGCUUCGGCUGAUGCAUACGACGCAGAACGCCCAUACUAUGCCCACGUGAUAGUUAGUGCUAUCAGGCCAGAGGCCCCUCGGAUCAAAUAUCCAAAUCGUAGUGGAUUAGGAACGCGCGGUAACAAGCAGAGACUCACGAAAGAUGUGACCCCGUUGCCCCGUCUCGAGGACUUGCGGCAAGGACUAGGAAUGCCCGACCAUGCCUCGUAAUUAUCUCGCGGGCACCCUCCAGGUCAACCCGUCUCCACAUCACUCGCAAUUAAGCUCGCGCGGGUACCCCUCAGGGUCGACCCGUCUUUCCAAGUAACAGGGGUAAAGUCCAAGUAUCCGUGUGUCCAAACAUCAAGGGGAAAACCUGAGGAAUCACCCCCGAUGAAUUCCACUAGAUGUAAUCAUCAAGGUGAACGUAAGAGGAAUCACCCCCGAGGUUCACACUUGAGGGGUUGCACGACAGAGUCGUAUCGAAAGUGGUUAAGGCGGAAUCACCCUCGAUGACCACGACCGAAUAGCUACACUAUAGGGUUAACAUCAGAAGUGUUGUAGAGGUCUCACCCUCGGCACUCGAUAGUAACCCAGCAGUGUCGAGCAACUAAGGGGAGAGUGAUGUGCGGUGGCGGGGCCUGGUCUUCGAUCCCGUUGAUCGGGUCUUCGAUGAUGAAGCAGGGGCAACAAGGACAAUGUGGGGGUCACUGAUGGAUCACUAACCAACCUAUACUAAGCAGUUUAGGAUAAGCAGGUAAGGUACAAUAGCAGAUACAAAAGCAGGCUAUGCAUCAGAAUAGGAGCAAACAAUAACAGUAGCAAAAUCUAAUGCAAGCAUGAGAGAAUGGAAUGGGCGAUAUUGGGAUGAUCAAAGGGGGGGGCUUGCCUGGUUGCUCUGGCAAGGAGGGGUCGUCGUCGACGUAGUCGAUCACAGGGGCGGCAUCGGUCUCGGGGUCUACCGAAGAGAAGAGGGGGAAGAAACAGUAAAUAUAAAGCAAACAUAGCAUCACAAAGCAGAACGUGGCAAUAUGCUGUGCCGGGAGUGACCUAACGCAUGGCUACACGAUAUAGGUGAAGGGGGAAAUCAACCGGGAAUGUAUUCCCGGUCCCGGACCCGUGUCACACAGAUGACCGGAGGGGAAAUGUUCCAUGUUCAGCAUGCUAGAGGCAUGUGACAGUUGAACAGACCGCAUUUUCAGAUUCGUUGGAUUUUUCUGGGCAACUUUCAUAUAGAAAACAUUUUCAUCGGAGUUACGUUUAUUUUCUAUGAAUUUUUAAAGUUUAAACAAUAUUCUGGAAUUAUUUAAGAAAUAACAGAAAAGGAAAUAUGACGUCAUCAUGGCGUCAUUGUUGCAUCAGCGGUCAACAGACUAGUUGACUAGUCAACAGGGCCCAGGGGGGACCCACUGGCAGUGACUGGGCGAUGCCCAGUCAGCCAUUGACUAGGUCAACAGGGCUAGCCGGGCCACUAGGGCCACGGGGCAGUGACCUGGCGAGGUGGACCCGGACGUCCACGUCGGCGCCGGCGUUGGGGAGCUCCGGUGAGCGUUCCCGCGGUGGAGGGGCGCCAGACCUUGCCGGAAUUCGCCGUCCGGCGGCCAAAAUGGCCGCGGGCGGGUGCGUUCGAACGGGAAGAAGAUGCCGCGUCGAACUGGGGUGGUAGCCGGGCCGGGGGCGGCCGGAGACGACGGUGGCAAGCGGCGGAGCGGACGCCGGAGAUCGGGCAUCGUCGGGAUCGGUGCUGGGGGGCGUUUGCGGGCAAACCACGCGGCUAGACGAGGCCUACGCGGUGCGGUGAGUGCGCUGGGCACUGGCCCGUGACCAUUUGGUCACCGGAGUCUUGCCGGCGACGAGAUCCGCGACGGAGAGUUCGGGCAUCUCCAAUGCGACCACUACGAUGACGGAAACGCGCGGGGAUAGAGGGAGAAGGACGACGACUGCUCACCGGGCCCUGUAGUUGUGCUCAAAUCGGCUCGGGGAGGCAUGUCGUCACCGGAAUCAUCGCCGGAGUUGAAGAUGGCCGUAGGGGAAGAAGAGGUCGUCGGGCUCGUCUCGGUGGCUUCCGGCUCCAAUGGCUUGGAUAGGACGACGCAGAGGACGACGGCGAAGCGCUACGUCAUCGGGGCGAGGCGAGAGGUCGACAGGGAGCGUGGGAUCGACGGCGCGCGGCAGCGGCUCCCUCGGUGAGGGAGGAGAAGGGUGAGGGGGAGCGAGGAGGAAUCUGGUGGGGAGAGGGAGAGGCGGAGCGGGGCAAGUGGGGAGGUGAGUGGAAGAGGCACCCGAGGCGUCGGGGGUGUGGAGGCCUUAUCCUCCCCCUCGUCGUCGACGGUGAGGCGGUCCGGGGCGACUGCGCCCCUGUAGCGACGGGGUCGGUCGAACAGGCAAGGCGACCCGGGGUAAGGUGGGCCGGCCAGUGUAAUGGGCUAAAGCCCAGGGAGGCAGGGGGCUCUUUUCUCACUCUCCCCUCUGCUUUUUCCUUUUUAUUUCUUUUUUUUUGUUUUUCCAGCAGCUUUUGCAUCUUCUUUUUAGACACUAAUGACUUUGCAAAAUUAUGCCACUGGCCAAGAUAAUUUUUAAAGAAUUAUUGUGCACUGCCACAAAAAGGUUGUGAGACUUUAAAAGUAGUUUGCAAAUUUUAUAAUUUAAUAAGGCAUUUAAAUUAUUGCUCAGCUCACUGUUAUAAGUAGUUUAGGCCACUUAAACACUUUUCAAAAAUGUUGGUUCAUCACCAAUAUUACUUGUGGAUUAUUUGGCACAUGAUGAACAUUUUAGUUUUCAUGUUUGAGCAAUUUUGAAUUUCACUCAUAACUUUAAAUUGAAAUCAACUGGAAUGUGAAAGAGUAUGAGACAAAAAUGAUCAGGCACAUGUUUAGCAAAACAAUUAACUUAACCCCAGGGGUUACUGUAGCAUCAUUACACCGGGGGUGUUACAACUCUCCUCCUCUAAAAGAAAUUCUCGUCCCGAGAAUUAAGAGGUAGAAGGGAACAGGUCGGGGUAUUCAGCACGGAGGUUAUCCUCGCGUUCCCAAGUGGCUUCAUCCUUAGAAUGAUUUGACCAUUGCACCUUGAGGAACUUGGUAACCUUCUGGUGUGUUCGACGUUCAGCUUCUUCAAGAAUGCAGAUCGGAUGCUCCUUGUAUGUGAGAUCAUCUUGAAUUUCAAUCAAUUCCGGAUCCACUUCACGUUCCGGAUCCUUGAAGCAUCGACGAAGUUGCGACACGUGAAAGACGUCAUGAACAUGAGAGAACUGAGGUGGCAACUCCAGUUGAUAAGCCACCAGUCCACAACGGGCCAGAAUGCGGAAAGGACCAAUGUAGCGCGGAGCUAGCUUGCCCUUGGCUCCGAACCUAUGAGUGCCUCUCAAAGGAGUGACACGCAGAUAAGCUUGUUCACCAGGUUGAUAAGUUGAACCCCAGUGUUUCCGGUCAUAGUUGCUCUUCUGGCGGGACUGGGCCGCCUUGAGAUUAUCCCGGACAAUGCGAACCUGCUCUUCAGCUUGUUGAAUAAUGUCUGGACCAAUGAGUGCCCGUUCGCCAGUUUCUGACCAAUUCAGAGGGGUUCGACACUUACGUCCAUAGAGCACUUCGAAGGGUGCCAUCUUCAAGCUGGCUUGAUAGCUGUUGUUAUAAGAGAACUCCGCAUAAGGGAGAGAUUCUUCCCACUUCUUGCCAAAAGAAAUAACACAAGCUCGAAGCAUGUCUUCAAGAAUUUGAUUGACUCGCUCGACUUGGCCUUGGGAUUGGGGAUGAUAAGCAGUGCUCCAGGUAAUAUGAGUUCCCAUUGCCUCUUGGAAACUAUCCCAGAACUUUGAAGUGAAUAAACUGCCACGGUCUGAACUGAUCUCCUUCGGAAUGCCAUGGAGUGACACAAUUCUAGAGAUAUACAAGUUUGCUAAUUGACUAGCAGUGAUUGUCUCCUUGACUGGCAGAAAGUGAGCAACUUUCGAGAAUUGGUCGAUGACAACAAAGAUAGCAUCGUUACUUUUCUGAGACUUGGGAAGUCCAGUGACGAAGUCCAUUUGAAUCUUAUCCCACUUCCAUUCAGGAAUCGGAAGCGGUUGUAGAAGUCCAGCCGGUUUCUGAGGUUCUGCUUUGACGCGACGGCAAACGUCACAUUCUUCGAUAUAUCGAGCAAUGUCUUGCUUCAUUUUAGACCACCAGUACUUCUAACGGAUGUCUAGAUACAUCUUGGUACUUCCCGGAUGAAUAGAGAGAGGGGUGUCAUGCGCUUCUUUCAUCACCUUCUCUGUCAUAAGCUCGAACCGGGGUACUACAAUGCGAUCUCUGAAGUAUAAGGUUCCAUCUUCACCAAGUGAGAAAUCUCUGGAUUUCUCUAAGGCAAGAUCCUUUUUCAUCAAAUCAACGUGAGCAUCUUUGGCUUGAGCAGACUUAAUUGCUUUCAGCAGAGUUGGUUCCAAUACAAGGUUAUUCAGAGAACCCUGUGGAACUAGUUGAAGGUUUAGCUUGCAUAGCUCUUCAUAAAGGCGGGGUUGAGCUUUGUAGACCAUGUGAUUAUUGCAAUAAGACUUGCGGCUCAGGGCAUCAGCCAUUACAUUAGCCUUACCAGGGGUAUAAGAUAUACCGCAGUUGUAGUCCGCAAUAGCUUCCAUCCACCACUGCUGACGGAGGUUCAGAUCUGGUUGAGUAAACAGGUACUUCAGACUCUGAUGAUCAGUGAAGAUCUCGCAACGAUUACCGAGAAGGUACUGUCGCCAUAGCUUCAAUGCAAAGAUAACCGCUGCAAGCUCAAGGUCAUGAACCGGGUAGUUUUCCUCGUGAGGACGCACUUGACGGGAAGCAUAAGCAAUCACCCUGCGCUCUUGCAUUAGAACACAGCCUAAUCCUUGACGUGAAGCGUCACAAUAGAUGACGAAGUCCUUGCGAGAAUCAGGAGGAGCAAGCACUGGGGCAGAAGUCAGCUUGUCCUUGAGUGCCUGGAAACUUUCCUGACAUUUGUCUGUCCAGUCGAACUUAACGCCUUUGUGAAGCAGAUUAGUCAGUGGCUUGGCGAUCUUGGAGAAAUUCUCAACAAAGCGGCGACAAUAGCUGGCUAGUCCGAGAAAGCUUCUGACUUGCUUGGCAGUCUUCGGAGGGGUCCAGUCAAGAAUAGCCUGAACGCGCUCUGGGUUGACGGCAAUACCAUCCUUGGAGAUGACAUGACCAAGGUAGGUGACUUCGGGCAACCAGAAUUCACACUUGGAAUACUUGGCAUAAAGUUGAUGCUCUCGAAGCUUCUCCAGAACAAGACGAAGAUGUUCAGCAUGUUCUUCUUUAUUCUUCGAAUAUACCAGGAUAUCAUCUAGAUAGACUACGACGAACUUGUCGAGGUAAUCCAUGAAUAUAUAGUUCAUCAGACGAGAGAAUGUAGCUGGAGCAUUGGUUAAACCGAAUGACAUGACGGUGUACUCGUAAGAACCAUAACGAAUGACGAAGGCGGUCUUUGGAAUAUCCUCUUCACGAACACGGAUCUGGUGGUAACCCAACCUCAAGUCGAGUUUAGAGAAUAUCGAUGAACCAGCAAGUUGAUCAUACAGAUCAUUGAUCCGAGGAAGGGGAUAUUUGUUCUGAAUUGUAGCUUGGUUGAUAGGACGGUAAUCUUGGACCAAACGGUUCGUUCUAUCCUUCUUCUUCACAAAGAGAGAAGGUGCUCCCCAAGUAGAGGAACUUGGACGAAUGAAACCCUUGCGAAGAGAUUUGUCGAUUUCCUCCUUAAGCUCAAGGAGUUCAUGAGGUGGCAUCUUGUAGGGUCGUUUGGCGAUAGGAACGGUGCCUGGUUUCAAGUCGAUGACGAACUCGACAGCCCGUGCAUGGGGUAUUCCUGGAAGUUCUUCUGGAAAUACGUCUUGGAAGUCGCGAACGACUGGAAUCUUUUCAAUUCCCUCAAGAGGUGUCGCGUUCAACGCAUUCAGCACAUAAAGUCGUGCUUCAGCGUUUCGAACCAGACGAGCAUUGUAGCUUACUAUCUCAUCUGAAGGGUGUAGAAGGUGGACGGUUUUAGUGGCACAAACGAUAGAAGCCGUAUGUGCUUUCAACCAAUCCAUUCCCAGAAUUAGGUCAAUAUUGGAAGACUUCAGAAUAAUGGGGGAUGCAAAGAAUUCCAACCCUUCAAUUUCAACUGAAACGUUGUGGCUAACCAUGGAGGUUUGGCAUUGGCCCGCAGGGGUUUUUACCACUAGUGGAGUGUGCAUCUCUUCGUAUUUAAUGCCAUGCAUGAAUGCAAAAUCUUCUGAUAUGAAAGAAUGUGAUGCUCCUGUAUCGAAUAAAACAGCAGCUGGUACUGAAUUAACGAGAAGAGUACCCAUCACAGUGGCAGGCUGGUCUUGAGCUUCAUUCAGAUCAACAUGAUUAGCAUGACCACGACCAUAAGGUUUGGCAUUGUUGUUAUAGGGCUGAUUGUUACGGCCAUUUGAAGGUAGAGCCAGCUGGCUCUUUUUCUGAGUGCACUCUUUAGCAAGGUGGUCGGGGCGGCCACAUCUGAAGCACAUACCAUCAUUGGGAUAGGGAGCAGGAGCUUGGGAUGGUACAUCUCGAAGAGGCUGCCUCUCUGGUGGAAGAGGCAGACGAGGUGUAGCAUAGGACUGUCUUGGUGCAGGUGCAGUUGGACGAUACAUGCUGUGGGGAAUCCAUAUCUGACGCUUCUGCAUUGACGGGCCCGAAGAUGGGCCAGCGUCACGGCUACGCCUGAGGGAUCCCUGGUGUUCCUGAAGGCCAGUCUCAACCUGAAUAGCCUUGUUCACCAAGGUGGCGAAGUCGGUAAAGUCAUGAACGAGCAGUGCUAGCUUGAUAUCAGGGUGAAGUCCGUCACGGAACUUUUCUUGCCUACGAGCAUCAGUAGCAAUGUCUUCUUCAGCGUAACGGGACAAUUCCAAGAAUUCCCGCUGAUAAGCAUCUACAGACUUGUUGCCUUGGGUGAAGUUACGGAACUCACGCUUCUUCCUGUCCAUGAUUCCCUGAGGAAUGAAGCGGGCACGAAAAGCGGCUUGGAAAUCUGGCCAAGUGAUGAGCGUUGCAGCAGGUAGGGUACGCCUGUGGCUGUCCCACCAUUGAGCAGCGGGACCCUUGAGGAAGAAGGACGCGAAGGUGACAUAGCUGGCAGGGGCAACACUAGCAGACUCCAUUUCAUACGUGAUGUCUCGGAGCCAGCCAUCAGCAUCAAAGGGCUGAGUUGAGCUGCGGUAGAUUGUUGGGUUGAGGCCCAUGAAGUCCUGCAGAGUAACUGGGGCUGGCUGCUGGUUCAUAUUCGGACGAGGAAACUGAGCCAUCAUUCCUUCCAUGAACUGGCGGUUCAGCUCAAACUGUUGCAUCAUUCCAGCAAAGAAUUCAGGCGGUGGUAGGUCGUUGCCACCACGACCACGACCAGCCGGUCUAACCAUCCUUCUAACAUGUAACAGGGGGUAGUUCAGCAUUGAGCAUUUGCAAAGGCAAGGAUCAUUCAUGAUGAAAACAUGCAUAAUGAAGGAGGUACGAUGGAUUCCACUUCGUAGUCCACACGACAGGUGUGUGUACUACUCAAGAGGCUAUUCUAAGGAAUAACUAUGGCUUUAUCCAACUUCGGGGUGAAUGUGGUCACGGGAUCCUAAUGUUAGUAAAUUCAUUUAACCCGAGUAGAAGAGAGUUCAGAGACCCAGAAUAUAGACGAGGAGUAAAAGAUGCUACUACCACCCAAUGGCGACGUGGGCCCGUAAGCCACACAGCCAAUGUUAGUAAAAUUUUUUCGGUGACUAGACUCAACUUCGGCCAAGGAGUUGGAAAGGGGCUACCUACAGACAGUCGGCUCUGAUACCAACUUGUGACGCCCUCGAUUCAAUCGUACACUAAUCAUGCACGCAAAUGUGUACGACCAAGAUCAAGGACUCACGGGAAGAUAUCACAACACAACUCUAGACACAAAUUAAAAUAAUACAAGCUUUAUAUUACAAGCCAUGGGCCUCGAGGGCUCGAAUACAUAAGCUCGAAUACACAAGAGUCAGCGAAAGCAACAAUAUCUAAGUACAGACAUAAGUUAGACAAGUUUGCCUUAAGAAGGCUAGCACAAAAGCAUCUACGAUCGAAAAGGCAAGGCCUCCUGCCUGGGAGCCUCCUAACUACUCCUGGUCGUUGGCGUCCUCCACGUAGUAGUAGGCACCCUCGGGGUUGUGGUAGUCGUCGUCAAAGGUGGCGUCUAGAUCCUGGGCUCCGACAUCUCUGGUUGCAUCAACCGGAAAGAAGAAGAAAGGGGGAAAAGGGGGAGCAAAGCAAACGUGAGUACUCAUCCAAAGUACUUGCAAGCAAGGAUCUACACUACAUAUGCAACAUUAUCAAAGAGGGGUUGUAUAUGUGGACUGGGCUGCAGAAAUGCCAGAAUAGAGAGAAGGCCUAGUCCUAUCGAAGACUAGCAUCUUCUGGAAACCACCAUCUUGCAGCAAACAAGAGGGAGUAGAGUAGCAUAAAGUAAAGUGGUAGUAGUGUUAUCAACCUCGGCCAGAGAUCCUUUCUCGACUCCCUGCGAGAAAGCAAUCCCAGAGCCAUACUAUCCAGUUAUCAUCACAAUCAAAUCCUCAUCACCAUCCAGUUCUCAUCACAAGUAUCCAGUUCUAGUUGUAUCGAUCGGGAUACAACUCCAAGUGUCCGUUACCGUAGGACAGGCUAUCGAUAGAUGUUUUCUUCCCUGCAGGGGUGCACUAACUUACCCACCACGCUCGCUUAACUCCAGCCGGACACACUUUCUUGGGUCAUGCCCGGCCUCGGCCAAACAAUACGCUGCAACCCGACCUAGGCUUAAUAGAGAGGCCAGCACGCCGGACUAAACCUAUGCCCCCAGGGGUCAUGGGCCAUCUCCCCGGGAACUCCUGCACGUUGCGAACGCGGCCGGUGAGCAGACCUAGCUACCUCCUUAAAAAGGUAGGUGCUUACCAGUCCAACCCGGCGCGCGCCGCUCAGUUGCUGACGUCUAUUAAGCUUCGGCUGAUGCAUACGACGCAGAACGCCCAUACUAUGCCCACGUGAUGGUUAGUGCUAUCAGGCCAGAGGCCCCUCGGAUCAAAUAUCCAAAUCGUAGUGGAUUAGGAACGCGCGGUAACAAGCAGAGACUCACGAAAGAUGUGACCCCGUUGCCCCGUCUCGAGGACUUGCGGCAAGGACUAGGAAUGCCCGGCCACGCCUCGUAAUUAUCUCGCGGGCACCCUCCAGGUCAACCCGUCUCCACAUCACUCACAAUUAAGCUCGCGCGGGUACCCCUCAGGGUCGACCCGUCUUUCCAAGUAACAGGGGUAAAGUCCAAGUAUCCGUGUGUCCAAACAUCAAGGGGAAAACCCGAGGAAUCACCCCCGAUGAAUUCCACUAGAUGUAAUCAUCAAGGUGAACGUAAGAGGAAUCACCCCCGAGGUUCACACUUGAGGGGUUGCACGACAGAGUCGUAUCGGAAGUGGUUAAGGCGGAAUCACCCUCGAUGACCACGACCGAAUAGCUACACUAUAGGGUUAACAUCAGAAGUGUUGUAGAGGUCUCACCCUCGGCACUCGAUAGUAACCCAGCAGUGUCGAGCAACUAAGGGGAGAGUGAUGUGCGGUGGCGGGGCCUGGUCUUCGAUCCCGUUGAUCGGGUCUUCGAUGAUGAAGCAGGGGCAACAAGGACAAUGUGGGGGUCACUGAUGGAUCACUAACCAACCUAUACUAAGCAGUUUAGGAUAAGCAGGUAAGGUACAAUAGCAGAUACAAAAGCAGGCUAUGCAUCAGAAUAGGAGCAAACAAUAACAGUAGCAAAAUCUAAUGCAAUCAUGAGAGAAUGGAAUGGGCGAUAUCGGGAUGAUCAAGGGGGGGGGGCUUGCCUAGUUGCUCUGGCAAGGAGGGGUCGUCGUCGACGUAGUCGAUCACAGGGUCGGCAUCGGUCUCGGGGUCUACCGAAGAGAAGAGGGGGAAGAAACAGUAAAUAUAAAGCAAACAUAGCAUCACAAAGCAGAACGUGGCAAUAUGCUGUGCCGGGAGUGACCUAACGCAUGGCUACACGAUAUAGGUGAAGGGGGAAAUCAACCGGGAAUGUAUUCCCGGUUCCGGACCCGUGUCACACAGAUGACCGGAGGGGAAAUGUUCCAUGUUCAGCAUGCUAGAGGCAUGUGACAGUUGAACGGACCGCAUUUUUAGAUUCGUUGGAUUUUUCUGGGCAACUUUCAUAUAGAAAACAUUUUCAUCGGAGUUACGGUUUAUUUUUUAUGAAUUUUUAAAGUUUAAACAAUAUUCUAGAAUUAUUUAAGAAAUAACAGAAAAGGAAAUAUGACGUCAUCAUGGCGUCAUUGUUGUAUCAGCGGUCAACAGACUAGUUGACUAGUCAACAGGGCCCAGGGGGGACCCACUGGCAGUGACUGGGCGAUGCCCAGUCAGCCAUUGACUAGGUCAACAGGGCUAGCCGGGCCACUAGGGCCACGGGGCAGUGACCUAGCGAGGUGGACCCGGACGUCCACGUCGGCGCCGGCGUUGGGGAGCUCCGGUGAGCGUUCCCGCGGCGGAGGGGCGCCAGACCUCGCCGGAAUUCGCCGUCCGGCGGCCAAAAUGGCCGCGGGCGGGUGCGUUCGAACGGGGAUAAGAUGCCGCGUUGAACUGGGGUGGUAGCCGGGCCGGGGGCGGCCGGAGACGACGGUGACAAGCGGCGGAGCGGACGCCAGAGAUCGGGCAUCGUCGGGAUCGGGGCUGGGGGGCGUUUGCGGGCAAACCACGCGGCUAGACGAGGCCUACGCGGUGCGGUGAGUGCGCUGGGCACUGGCCCGUGACCAUUUGGUCACCGGAGUCUUGCCGGCGAUGAGAUCCACGACGGAGAGUUCGGGCAUCUCCAAUGCGACCACUACGGUGACGGAAACACACGGGGAGAGAGGGAGAAGGACGACGACUGCUCACCGGGCCCUGUAGUUGUGCUCAAAUGGGCUCGGGGAGGCAUGUCGUCACCGGAAUCAUCGCCGGAGUUGAAGAUGGCCGUAGGGGAAGAAGAGGUCGUCGGGCUCGUCUCGGUGGCUUCCGGCUCCAAUGGCUUGGAUAGGACGACGCAGAGGACGACGGCGAAGCGCUACGUCAUCGGGGCGAGGCGAGAGGUCGACAGGGAGCGUGGGAUCGACGGCGCGCGGCAGCGGCUCCCUCGGUGAGGGAGGAGAAGGGUGAGGGGGAGCGAGGAGGAAUCUGGUGGGGAGAGGGAGAGGCGGAGCGGGGCAAGUGGGGAGGUGAGUGGGAGAGGCACCCGAGGCGUCGGGGGCGUGGAGGCCUUAUCCUCCCCCUCGUCGUCAACGGCGAGGCGGUCCGGGGCGACCGCGCCCCUGUAGCGACGGGGUCGGUCGAACAGGGAAGGUGACCCGGGGUAAGGUGGGCCGGCCAGUGUAAUGGGCUAAAGCCCAGGGAGGCAGGGGGCUCUUUUCUCACUCUCCCCUCUGCUUUUUCCUUUUUAUUUCUUUUUUUUGUUUUUCCAGCAGCUUUUGCAUCUUCUUUUUAGACACUAAUGACUUUGCAAAAUUAUGCCACUGGCCAAGAUAAUUUUCAAAGAAUUAUUGUGCACUGCCACAAAAAGGUUGUGAGACUUUAAAAGUAGUUUGCAAAUUUUAUAAUUUAAUAAGGCAUUUAAAUUAUUGCUCAGCUCACUGUUAUAAGUAGUUUAGGCCACUUAAACACUUUUCAAAAAUGUUGGUUCAUCACCAAUAUUACUUGUGGAUUAUUUGGCACAUGAUGAACAUUUUAGUUUUCAUGUUUGAGCAAUUUUGAAUUUCACUCAUAACUUUAAAUUGAAAUCAACUGGAAUGUGAAAGAGUAUGAGACAAAAAUGAUCAGGCACAUGUUUAGCAAAACAAUUAACUUAACCCCAGGGGUUACUGUAGCAUCAUUACACCGGGGGUGUUACAGACGCCUUCUCCUAGUUGUGCUAAAAUUGAGGUGCUUGUUUAAUUAACAAGCACCUUUCAUCCCCACUGUGACAGUAAUGCAUUGAGAUGCCUCUGGACUGUAGUGUAUGUUGAUACAAUUGAGGUGUUCCUAGCUAGUUUCUGCACUUAUAGAAUACUUUAUUGCUUUGUGUUUUCUCUUCUAGAAUUAGUAUACUUUACUUAUAUGUUUAUAUGUUGAAUGGCAGAAGCUCAAGGUGAAGAAGGCCAUCGAGAAGGGCAACACCGACAGCGCCCAGAUCUAUUGAGGUGGCGCCUAGUCUUCAUGCGGUCCUUUUGUCAUGAAAGAAUAGUGUUACAAAUCCUUCACGCUGCUAUUGAAUACUCCUGCUGCCACACAAGACGACCAAGGUCCACUCUGCUCUAGUGCUAUCCCUCGCUCUAGCUCUGUUCAUUGCUGCACAAGAAAAACAGAGACAAACGAAAACAAAUUAUCUAAGGUCAUGUUAUUAUUACCUAUAUAUGACAUUGCUACUGGAUUGCCUAGCGCCCCUGUUCAUGAUGGGUUAAACUUGUAUUCGCUCCUGUUGUUGCAUUUUGAUGAUCAUGAGUGUGAUGCAUUUUGAUGAUCUCCUUGUACCAGAUGAGUCCGUCGAUGAAGCAACAGCGUCUCCUCUAGAGGGUGACGGCGGCGGCGCCUGUGUGCGGCUUCGACUACAACCUCCUCUCUGGUGAGUCCAUCUCCUACCUCUAGCUACAUCUCUGAGCUGUUGUAAUACCAUGCUCUGUUUCAUGGCCGUGGCUUAUUUAGUCUGUGCUUGUUGUGCCUUGUGUAUUGGAGCCUAAUUAGCUUCUGUUAGGGGAUAAUCUACUGGUUAUAUCAAAAUUUUGCAUGAAAUUUUGUUCUGCUUAUUCUGCUAAGGUUGUUUGCAAUGGUUAUACAUAUGUUACACAAUUUUUGCUGCUGGCUAAUCAUCUUUAGAGAUAGUAACAUGGUGCUGCACUCUCAGGAUCAUCUUAUGAUACACAAUCAAUUUUUGGUGUGCUCAAAUUUUUAAUUUUAGUGAUAAGGAAAGAUCCCACCUAGUUUGCUGGCUCACUCACUUGAGUUGGUUUAACAGUAGUGGCCUCCUGACUUGUAGUUGGGUAGGUAGCUGAGAAGACUCAUGGUGCUGGCUGGGAGAAAAAGUUUAUAUGCAUGGAUAAUGAACUUGCACUAAAUGGACACAAAUAAAGGAGCUGAGUAUUAAAUUAACUUGUACUAAGUGGAAACAAUAUUCUGUAUGGUGUACAUAAAUAUCGAGUUGAUAGCUGAUCUGUAGCAAAUAUAACUGCGUGUAACUUCUUUACUUGGUUCCUCUUUUACAGGAGCUCCAGUCCUAAGAAAGUUGGAAGUGCGAAGACGUGAAGAAAAGCGCGAAGUUGUGAAGUGCGACUCAGCAAAGAGUUGUCUGUUCUAUUUGACUAUAAUAUUGUAAUAGCUGGUAUACCCUAGGUUGUAAUAGUCUACAGAAAUUGUAAUACACUAAUCUAGUGUUAUUUGACGAAUUUCACAUGUUCUCUUGUUUGGAAUAUUUGAUUAUGAAUGUGAUUUGAUAGUGUGUGAGAUGGGAACCUGACAGUGCAACCCACUUAUGAAAUAAUAUGAGUCUGUAACUUUCUGAUGUGUGUGAUCAAUAUAUGAGAUUAACAUGACUAGUGG